rnacentral:rRNA from 1 species
AUUGAACGCUGGCGGCAGGCCUAACACAUGCAAGUCGAACGAGCGGCGGACGGGUGAGUAAUGUCUGGGAAACUGCCUGAUGGAGGGGGCUAACUACUGGAAACGGUAGCUAAUACCGCAUACCAUCAGAUGUGCCCAGAUGGGAUUAGCUAGUGGGUGGGGUAAUGGCUCACAUAGGCGACGAUCCCUAGCUGGUCUGAGAGGAGGACCAGCCACACUGGAACUGAGACACGGUCCAGACUCCUACGGGAGGCAGCAGUGGGGAAUUUUGGACAAUGGGCGCAAGCCUGAUGCAGCCAUGCCGCGUGUGUGAAGAAGGCCUUCGGGUUGUAAAGUACUUUCAGCGGGGAGGCGUUACUCGCAGAAGAAGCACCGGCUAACUCCGUGCCAGCAGCCGCGGUAAUUC